rnacentral:rRNA from 1 species
AUGAGCUACUGCCAAGCUACAACGUACAAGCCUCUUGGUGGGCUCACUUUGGACAGACCAUUAGGCCUUGGGAGAACUUGCAGAAUACUUCCUCAACAUCAUUCUGUAUGGCAACAUUUUUCUAGAUCUUGCAAGCUGCAAGAGAAAGUAUAUCCAAGGCUUGUUGUUGCUGCUUGCCAUAAGAGGCUUGGUCCUGUAUAUGCCUCAAGUGGGAAGGGAAACCUUGAUCCAUUCUCUAUGGAAUCUUUGAACAAAGCAAUGGAUGGAGCAAAAAAGCAACAGUCUAUACAAGGCUUCCUGAUGGAGCAAAUGGCUAAGAUUACAGGACAGGGGUCUGGUGGAAAUGGAGGGAAUAAUAACCGUUAUGGAGGCAGCGGUGGUGGUCCUGAUGGCCCAGAUGACGAAUCUUUCACGGAUUCAUUGUAUGAAGUGGUCCAAGUUGUGUUAGCAACUGUUGCUUUUGUACUCACGUAUAUCCACAUCAUCAGAGGAGAGGAGUUGUACCGCCUUGCAAGGGACUACACCAGAUAUGUCGUCACUGGCAAGAGAACGUCCCGGCUGAAGCGUGCCAUGCUUAACUGGCGUGAUUUCUCAGAUAGCAUCACAAAGAAUUUCAGCACACAAGACGAUGUGUAUCGAAGCCCGGUCGCUUCUGAAGCCCCAGAAGCUGGUUCAUCAUCUCGGUGA